UAGGCUAAGUGUUCUCAAUGUAGGUGGGA
rnacentral:piRNA from 1 species